UACGAAGGGAGCUAGCGUUACUCGGAAUUAUUGGGCGUAAAGCGUGCGUAGGCUGUUUUGUAAGUCAGAAGUGAAAUCCUGGGGCUCAACCUCAGAACUGCUUUUGAUACUGCAAGACUAGAGUGUGUGAGGGGAUGGCGGAAUUCCUAGUGUAGUAGUGAAAUACGUAGAUAUUAGGAGGAACACCGGUGGCGAAGGCGGCCAUCUGGCACACAACUGACGCUGUUGCACGAAAGCGUGGGGAGCAAACAGG
rnacentral:rRNA from 1 species